CGAAUACAAGCUGAUUUUCUGCUUU
rnacentral:sRNA from 1 species